rnacentral:misc_RNA from 1 species
UUUCCGUAGGUGAACCUGCGGAAGGAUCAUUAAUGUAACCGGACCGUUCCUUUGCCGUAAAACGCACUGGAUUGGAGAGGGAGAUAUCAUACACCCUAUGUUUAUUUACUUUUGUUGCUUUGGUGGGCCGUCCUUUACGGCGUCGGCCUCGGCUGAUCGCGCCCGCCAGAGGACCCAAACUCCUUUAUUAGUGAUGUCUGAGUACUAUAUAAUAGUUAAAACUUUCAACAACGGAUCUCUUGGUUCUG